AGGCUUUCAAGGGCUGCCCACCUACCGGGCACGAUCUUCAUCGGGGACGGUGGCAGGAGCCCACGGGGCAGACGGAGCGGGCCAGGGGUGUGGGAGGUCACAGGCCCCUCGGAGGAGGCACAAGCCACUGGCGGCAGCGUCGGGUGGGAGGAGGGCACGGCCGUGCUGCUGUCAGCAGCAGCUUGUGGGGGAGGGGAGCAGUGGGCAGGGGCCCAGGGGAUAUAAAUAUCCGAGGAGGGCGCGCAAGGACCGUCACCACCCAGACUUGGAACAUGACGCACGGCGCCAGGGCACCCAGGCCCCGCUGCAGUCAGGUCUGGCUGGACGGUGCCACCCGACACCUCGGUCCCCCAGCUCCCACAGGGGGUUCUAAUAUAAUAGAGCAGGGCGCGGGAGGUGCGGGCUCACGUCCCUGCAGGAGGCGGUGCAGUCCCCACCCACCUGCCCUGCCAAGCCAGGGGGUGCUCUUGGAAAGGCCACAGGGGCCAAGAGAAGAGGCCGCCCAUUCUCCCAGAGGGCCCUGCGCAGGUCACUCAACACAGCACCUGGCCCCACCGGUGGCCGGGACAGCCACCCCAAAGUCACGCGCAGGCCAGAGACCCAGGCAGCCCGAAACCAGGGCUCAGGCCUGCGCCUGCCCCACAGCACAGCCUCUCCUGGGGUCCCAGGGAUCUGGGAUGGAGACGCCUCUCCUGGGCCACGGCAGGAGACUGGCCUGGCUCCACCCAGGAGUCCCGAAGCCCUGCUCUGUGGAAGGCCUGGGUCAGAGAGCCGGGCCACAGGCAGGCCCACAGCAUAUCCUAUGCAGAUCAGAUCCCAAUGCAGCCGGGGAAACAGGACGUGGGACACGCACAGUCCUGCUCCUCUUCCUGGGACCCCUGUCUGCUGGGCGCACCCCUCAGGCCCAGGAGAAUGCACGUUGACGGUAUACCCCAUUCCACAGCGUCGCUCCUGGCACCACAUGGAACCCUCAGCAAACCCCAUGAAGUCCUAUACCAUGAAGGCCUCAUACAGACCAGGAGCCUGAGGCGCCGCCUGCUGUCCCGCACGCUGCCAUCUGAGCCCAGGUGGCCUCCAGUGUAGUUACCUCAGCCCACAGCAAGGCACAGUGAACCAGCCUGGCCCCGGGCCACUGGGCAGGCCACCCAGGUCCAUGCUGGGAAGCCCGCGGACAACAAGAGGGCCGGGCCCACCCCAGCCUCCUGCUCUCCAGCCCCACACCUCAAAAACGUGCGGCCGAGGGAAAUGCCUGCAGUGGCCCACUCUGGGCGGCCAGGGGUCGGGCGGGCCCAGGCAGCCCUGAGGGUCAGGGAUACCCAGGCAUGCCAGAAAGGGCCCAACUCCCAGCUGAGCCCAGGACAGCAUCUGGCCAGCAGUGGGCAGGGGCCGACAGGCCGGACGUUUCAGCCCACUCCCUGCCACGUGCUGGGGAAGCCUCAGAGGAGCCUGACUCAAUGGCCUGGGUGAGAACCAGCUCCUGGCGGGAGGAGUGCCCCAGGCUGGCAGCGGGCAGUUCUUCUACCACUCCACGGAGGUCCGGACAGGCCUGUGCUUCCGGGACACACAUCACACACACCCCUGGGGCAGCUCCGAGAGGGGGCUGUGCCUAUCCCUGCAUCCCAGGUCUGACGGCACAGAACGGUGGACAACGGGAAGAGACAGGUCUGCCAGAGGCGGCCCCGGCCCUCUCCUCUGCCUCCCACAGCCCCCAGCUCUGCCUGCCCUACCUUGGCCCAGCUGAAUCAGCUCCUCCAUGCUGUACCUGUCCAUGGCUGCCACACAGGCCAGGCUGCUCCGAGAGCCGGCAGGGAGGAAGGCGAGGCAGGAAGGAGGGAAGGGGUGGGAGGCAGAGGGAGGGCCCACUCAUGCCCUGGUAGCAGCGGCUCCUCCUCGCAGCCACCCCUUAGUCAGUAAGCAGAGAUGAAGCCCAGCCGACUGACGGGUCAGACCAGCCCAGCAGACCUGCCUGGGGGUGCAGGGGACUGGCCUGCCUGCAAUCCCAGAGAGCCCUCCGGCCCCAGCCCACGGGUCUUCCCUACUGUUCCUGCCCCGCCCAGCAGACCCCCCGCCCAGCAGACCCCACCCUGUAGCCUCCCCUUCCCGCUGCAGGCCCCACCAGCCCAGCCCUGCCCUCCCACCCUCCCACCCACAUUCCAGGCAUCCAUGUGCCCAGCGGUAUUUCAGGAGCCAGGCGGGAGCAGAGCCCCAAACUGCCCACCACACCCCACUCCUUGAGACUCACAUUCCUCAGCCCCAAAGGUGGUCUCUUCCUCCACCUGAGUCCUCCCCAACCAGCACAGCCCCAGGCAUCUGUCCAGGGGCAAUGGUGACACCUGCCUCCCCUCUCCAUACCUCUCCACCCAGGUGCUUGCUGACCAGUGAAGUGCAAAUCAAAUCCCAUCGUAACUACCCCUUAGAAGCCUGCCGGCGAUCUACAGAAAUCCCGCAAACGGGUGACUCGGCCAAGCCAGUGAUCCCUGUGGAAAGCUGGCCGGGCCAUAGUCCCUCCACCUAGAGCACCCUGUGGCUGGGAAGAAGGGCAAGGCAGCCAGGCCACCUCCAGGCUUCCUCCUUGACGCAGGGCCACAGAGGGUCAAGGGGGGAGGUCAAGGCACAGGCGUGUCCUCCGUGUAGAGGGGAAGUCAUGGUGGCUACCCAACCCCUGCCCUUUGCUGUGGGAAGCAGCUCUAGGUGCUGUGCGUGUACAGCGCUCACCGUGGUGGCGGCUACCUGGCCCCUGCCCGUUGCUGGUGCAUGGACAGCGCUCAGCUGGCGUCUCCUCCACACAAUCCUCGGUUCCUUCAGAAUUUUGAGCCAGGCAAAGCAUCGCCAUUUGCAAUGUAAAUUAGGGCUGGGCGGUAGCUAUAAUCCCAGCACUUUGGGAGGCUGAGGCAGGCGGAUCACCUGAGGUCAGGACUUCAAGACCAGCCUGGCCAACAUGGCGAAACCCCGUCUCUACUAAAAAAAAAAAACAAAAAUUAGCCAGGCAUGGUGGCUCAUGCCUGUAAUCCCAGCUACUCAGGAGGCUGAGACAGGAGAAUCGCUUCAACCCGGGAGGCGGAGGUUGCAGUGAGCCAAGACUGUGCUAUUGCACUCCAGCCUGGGCAACAGAGCGGGACUCCAUCUCAAAACAAUAAGUAAAAUAAAAAUGAAACGUAAAUGAAA
rnacentral:lncRNA from 1 species